rnacentral:rRNA from 1 species
UACGUAGGGGGCUAGCGUUGUCCGGAUUUAUUGGGCGUAAAGAGCGUGUAGGCGGUUCGGUAAGUCGGCUGUGAAAGUCCAGGGCUCAACCCUGGGAUGCCGGUCGAUACUGCCGGACUAGAGUUCGGAAGAGGCGAGUGGAAUUCCCGGUGUAGCGGUGAAAUGCGUAGAUAUUGGGAAGAACACCGGAGGCGAAGGCGGGUUGCUGGGCCGACACUGACGCUGAGGCGCGAAAGCCAGGGGAGCGAACGGG